rnacentral:rRNA from 1 species
AACGAACGCUGGCGGCAUGCCUAACACAUGCAAGUCGAACGAAGGCUUCGGCCUUAGUGGCGCACGGGUGCGUAACGCGUGGGAAUCUGCCCUCUGGUACGGAAUAACUCAGGGAAACUUGAGCUAAUACCGUAUAAUGACUUCGGUCCAAAGAUUUAUCGCCUGAGGAUGAGCCCGCGUAGGAUUAGCUUGUUGGUGAGGUAAAGGCGCACCAAGGCGACGAUCCUUAGCUGGUCUGAGAGGAUGAUCAGCCACACUGGGACUGAGACACGGCCCAGACUCCUACGGGAGGCAGCAGUGGGGAAUAUUGGACAAUGGGCGAAAGCCUGAUCCAGCAAUGCCGCGUGAGUGAUGAAGGCCUUAGGGUUGUAAAGCUCUUUUACCCGGGAUGAUAAUGACAGUACCGGGAGAAUAAGCCCCGGCUAACUCCGUGCCAGCCGCCGCCGUAAUAC